rnacentral:rRNA from 1 species
GACGAACGCUGGCGGCGUGCCUAAUACAUGCAAGUAGGACGCAGUUGCGAACGGGUUAGUAACGCGUAGGUAACUACCUAUUAGAGGGGGAUAACUAUUGGAGACGAUAGCUAAUACCGCAUACUAGUAGAUUGACCUGCGUUGUAUUAGCUAGUAGGUAGGGUAAUGGCCUACCUAGGCAACGAUACAUAGCCGACUCUGGAGGGGGAACGGCCAACAUGGGACCGAGGCAAGGGCCAGAACCCCACGGGAGGGAGCAGGAGGGAAAUUUCGGAAAUGGGGGGAACCCUGACCGAGCAACGCCGGGUGAGUGAAGAAGGGUUUCGGAUCGUAAAGCUCUGUUGUUAAGGAAGCGGUACUUAACCAGAAAGGGACGGCUAACUUCGUGCCAGCAGCCGCGGUAAUAC